rnacentral:rRNA from 1 species
CCUACGGGUGACUGCAGUGGGGAAUAUUGCUCAAUGGGGGAAACCCUGAUGCAGCGACGUCGCGUGCAGGAAGACGUAUUUCGGUAUGUUAACUUCCAUCAGCAGGGAAGAAAAUGACGGUACCUGACUAAGAAGCCCCGGCUAACUACGUGCCAGCAGCCGCGGUAAUACGUAUGGGGCAAGCGUUAUCCGGAUUUACUGGGUGUAAAGGGAGCGUAGGCGGCGAUGCAAGUCAGAAGUGAAAGCCCGGGGCUCAACUCCGGGACUGCUUUUGAAACUGUGUUGCUAGAUUGCAGGAGAGGUAAGUGGAAUUCCUAGUGUAGCGGUGAAAUGCGUAGAUAUUAGGAGGAACACCAGUGGCGAAGGCGGCUUACUGGACUGUAAAUGACGCUGAGGCUCGAAAGCGUGGGGAGCAAACAGGAUUAGAUACCCCUGUAGUC